rnacentral:rRNA from 1 species
UCCAGACUCCUACGGGAGGCAGCAGUGGGGAAUAUUGGGCAAUGGGCGCAAGCCUGACCCAGCAACGCCGCGUGAAGGAAGAAGGCUUUCGGGUUGUAAACUUCUUUUCUGAGGGACGAUAGUGACGGUACCUCAGGAAUAAGCCACGGCUAACUACGUGCCAGCAGCCGCGGUAAUACGUAGGUGGCAAGCGUUAUCCGGAUUUACUGGGUGUAAAGGGCGUGUAGGCGGGAUGGUAAGUCAGAUGUGAAAACUAUGGGCUCAACCUGUGGCCUGCAUUUGAAACUGUGUUUCUUGAGUACUGGAGAGGCAGACGGAAUUCCUAGUGUAGCGGUGAAAUGCGUAGAUAUUAGGAGGAACACCAGUGGCGAAGGCGGUCUGCUGGACAGCAACUGACGCUGAGGCGCGAAAGCGUGGGGAGCAAACAGGAUUAGAUACCCCCGUAGUC